rnacentral:rRNA from 1 species
GUCGAACGCUCAUAAGCUUGUAGCAAUAUAAGUUUGUGGGAGUGGCGCAAGGGUGCGUAACACGUGGGAAUCUACCGUUAAGUUGGGGAUAACUUGCUGAAAGGCGAGCUAAUACCGAAUGUGACCGAAAGGUCAAAGCUGGGGACCGAAAGGCCUGGCGCUUGACGAUGAGCCCGCGGCCUAUCAGCUAGUUGGUGAGGUAAAGGCUCACCAAGGCUAAGACGGGUAGCUGGUCUGAGAGGACGACCAGCCACACUGGAACUGAGACACGGUCCAGACACCUACGGGUGGCAGCAGUCGAGAAUUUUUCUCAAUGGGCGAAAGCUUGAAGGAGCGACGCCGCGUGGGGGAUGAAGGGCUUCGGUCCGUAAACCCCUGUCAUUUGCGAACAAACCCCGGUUGUGAAUAACAGUCGGGCUGAUUGUAGCGAAAGAGGAAGGGACGGCUAACUCUGUGCCAGCAGCCGCGGUAAUACAGAGGUCCCGAGCGUUGUUCGGAUUCACUGGGCGUAAAGGGUGCGUAGGUGGCCUGGCAAGUUUGGCGUGAAAUCUCCGGGCUCAACCCGGAAACUGCGUCGAAGACUGUCGGGCUUGAGGAUUGGAGGGGGGAUUGGAAUUCUUGGUGUAGCAGUGAAAUGCGUAGAUAUCAAGAGGAACACCAGUGGCGAAGGCGAAUCCCUGGACAAUACCUGACACUGAGGCACGAAAGCUAGGGGAGCAAACAGGAUUAGAUACCCUGGUA